GGGUUGUGAGGUUAAGCGACUAAGCGUACACGGUGGAUGCCCUGGCAGUCAGAGGCGAUGAAGGACGUGCUAAUCUGCGAAAAGCGUCGGUAAGGUGAUAUGAACCGUUAUAACCGGCGAUGUCCGAAUGGGGAAACCCAGUGUGAUUCGUCACACUAUCGUUAACUGAAUACAUAGGUUAACGAGGCGAACCGGGGGAACUGAAACAUCUAAGUACCCCGAGGAAAAGAAAUCAACCGAGAUUCCCCCAGUAGCGGCGAGCGAACGGGGAGCAGCCCAGAGUCUGAAUCAGCUUGUGUGUUAGUGGAACGGUCUGGAAAGUCCGACGGUACAGGGUGAUAGUCCCGUACACCAAAAUACACAGGUUGUGAACUCGAAGAGUAGGGCGGGACACGUGGUAUCCUGUCUGAAUAUGGGGGGACCAUCCUCCAAGGCUAAAUACUCCUGACUGACCGAUAGUGAACCAGUACCGUGAGGGAAAGGCGAAAAGAACCCCGGCGAGGGGAGUGAAAAAGAACCUGAAACCGUGUACGUACAAGCAGUGGGAGCACCUUCGGGUGUGACUGCGUACCUUUUGUAUAAUGGGUCAGCGACUUAUAUUCUGUAGCAAGGUUAACCGUAUAGGGGAGCCGCAGGGAAACCGAGUCUUAACUGGGCGUUAAGUUGCAGGGUAUAGACCCGAAACCCGGUGAUCUAGCCAUGGGCAGGUUGAAGGUUGGGUAACACUAACUGGAGGACCGAACCGACUAAUGUUGAAAAAUUAGCGGAUGACUUGUGGCUGGGGGUGAAAGGCCAAUCAAACCGGGAGAUAGCUGGUUCUCCCCGAAAGCUAUUUAGGUAGCGCCUCGUGAACUCAUCUUCGGGGGUAGAGCACUGUUUCGGCUAGGGGGUCAUCCCGACUUACCAACCCGAUGCAAACUACGAAUACCGAAGAAUGUUAUCACGGGAGACACACGGCGGGUGCUAACGUCCGUCGUGAAGAGGGAAACAACCCAGACCGCCAGCUAAGGUCCCAAAGUCAUGGUUAAGUGGGAAACGAUGUGGGAAGGCACAGACAGCCAGGAUGUUGGCUUAGAAGCAGCCAUCAUUUAAAGAAAGCGUAAUAGCUCACUGGUCGAGUCGGCCUGCGCGGAAGAUGUAACGGGGCUAAACCAUGCACCGAAGCUGCGGCAGCGACGCUUAUGCGUUGUUGGGUAGGGGAGCGUUCUGUAAGCCUGCGAAGGUGGCCUGUGAGGGCUGCUGGAGGUAUCAGAAGUGCGAAUGCUGACAUAAGUAACGAUAAAGCGGGUGAAAAGCCCGCUCGCCGGAAGACCAAGGGUUCCUGUCCAACGUUAAUCGGGGCAGGGUGAGUCGACCCCUAAGGCGAGGCCGAAAGGCGUAGUCGAUGGGAAACAGGUUAAUAUUCCUGUACUUGGUGUUACUGCGAAGGGGGGACGGAGAAGGCUAUGUUAGCCGGGCGACGGUUGUCCCGGUUUAAGCAUGUAGGCGGAGGUUCCAGGUAAAUCCGGUACCUUUUAACGCUGAGGUGUGAUGACGAGGCACUACGGUGCUGAAGUAACAAAUGCCCUGCUUCCAGGAAAAGCCUCUAAGCAUCAGGUAACAUUAAAUCGUACCCCAAACCGACACAGGUGGUCAGGUAGAGAAUACCAAGGCGCUUGAGAGAACUCGGGUGAAGGAACUAGGCAAAAUGGUGCCGUAACUUCGGGAGAAGGCACGCUGGUGUGUAGGUGAAGUCCCUGCGGAUGGAGCUGAGACCAGUCGAAGAUACCAGCUGGCUGCAACUGUUUAUUAAAAACACAGCACUGUGCAAACACGAAAGUGGACGUAUACGGUGUGACGCCUGCCCGGUGCCGGAAGGUUAAUUGAUGGGGUUAUCCGUAAGGAGAAGCUCUUGAUCGAAGCCCCGGUAAACGGCGGCCGUAACUAUAACGGUCCUAAGGUAGCGAAAUUCCUUGUCGGGUAAGUUCCGACCUGCACGAAUGGCGUAAUGAUGGCCAGGCUGUCUCCACCCGAGACUCAGUGAAAUUGAACUCGCUGUGAAGAUGCAGUGUACCCGCGGCAAGACGGAAAGACCCCGUGAACCUUUACUAUAGCUUGACACUGAACAUUGAGCCUUGAUGUGUAG
rnacentral:rRNA from 1 species